UGGGGAAUAUUGCACAAUGGGGGAAACCCUGAUGCAGCAACGCCGCGUGAGUGAAGAAGUAUUUCGGUAUGUAAAGCUCUAUCAGCAGGGAAGAAGAAGGACGGUACCUGACUAAGAAGCCCCGGCUAACUACGUGCCAGCAGCCGCGGUAAUACGUAGGGGGCGAGCGUUAUCCGGAUUUACUGGGUGUAAAGGGAGCGUAGACGGUUUUUCAAGUCUGAAGUGAAAGCCCGCGGCUCAACUGCGGAACGGCUUUGGAAACUGAGGGACUAGAGUGCUGGAGGGGCAGGCGGAAUUCCUGGUGUAGCGGUGAAAUGCGUAGAUAUCAGGAGGAACACCGGUGGCGAAGGCGGCCUGCUGGACAGUAACUGACGUUGAGGCUCGAAAGCGUGGGGAGCAAACAGG
rnacentral:rRNA from 1 species